rnacentral:rRNA from 1 species
AUGAACGCUGGCGGCGUGCUUAACACAUGCAAGUCGAACGAGGCGGAGGGGGCAACUCCUUCCAGCCGAGUGGCGGGACGGGUGAGUAACACGUGGGUAACCUGCCCGGAAGUGAGGAAUACCUCGGGGAAACUCGAGCUAAUAUCGCAUGACAUCUUCGGGACGAAAGUCCUGACGAUCAAAGCGGGGUCGCAAGAUCUCGCGCUGCCGGAUGGGCCCGCGCCCGAUUAGCAGUUGGUGAGGUAACGGCUCACCAAGGCUUCGAUCGGUAACCGGCCUGAGAGGGCGAUCGGUCACACCGGAACUGAGACACGGUCCGGACUCCUACGGGAGGCAGCAGUGGGGAAUCUUGCGCAAUGGGCGAAAGCCUGACGCAGCAACGCCGCGUGGAGGAUGAAGGCCUGGGUUGUAAACUCCUGUCGCUGGGAAGAAAUCGUUCGGGUCAAUACCCCCGGACGUU